rnacentral:siRNA from 1 species
UGAAGGGGUGUUAAACUUUAC